GACGAGGGAUCCUAGCGUUGUUCGGAAUCAUUGGGCGUAAAGCGGGUGUAGGCGGAUCUAUAAGUCAGGUGUGAAAUCCCAGAGCUCAACUCUGGAAGUGCACUUGAUACUGUAGAUCUUGAGUGUGGUAGAGGUUACUGGAAUUCCUGGUGUAGUGGUGAAAUACGUAGAUAUCAGGAGGAAUACCGGAGGCGAAGGCGAGUAACUGGGCCAACACUGACGCUGAGACCCGAAAGCGUGGGGAUCAAACAGG
rnacentral:rRNA from 1 species